rnacentral:lncRNA from 1 species
GUAGAUCUUGAAAAUAGAGCCAAUACUAGAAAUCGAGGUAGAUCCUUGCUCCACCACCUUCUGUUUAGCUACGUCAACGGGGGCCUUCUGAACCGGGUGUGGCUGUCUGAUUAGGCCAACAAAUAAGAGAACUGACCUUUUCGAAGCUAUUAACGGCCAAAUUGAUGACUAAUUUGAUGUCAGAAUUGACAUCAACAACUGACGUAGAAGAAGAACCGACGGAGGUAGAGGCGGAGGCCUCUUCUUUAUUAUUCGAGCGGAGUACAAUUAGAGGGA